rnacentral:rRNA from 1 species
UACGAAGGGGGCUAGCGUUGUUCGGAAUUACUGGGCGUAAAGGGCGCGUAGGCGGUGUGUCAAGUCAGGCGUGAAAGCCCCGGGCUCAACCUGGGAACCGCGCUUGAGACUGGCACGCUCGAGUUCGGGAGAGGAUGGUGGAAUUCCCAGUGUAGAGGUGAAAUUCGUAGAUAUUGGGAAGAACACCGAUGGCGAAGGCAGCCAUCUGGACCGACACUGACGCUGAGGCGCGAAAGCGUGGGGGAGCAAACAGGAUUAGAAACCUA